UUUUUUUUUUUUUUUUUUUUUUUUUUAAUUUCCUCGAUUUCUUCGUUGACCCAUUGGUUGUUUAGAAGCAUGUCUUAUAAAGCUGAACCAGGGACACCUGAAUGGUUCAGAGGUUCAGCGUCUGCCUUCGGCUCAGGGCGUGAUCCUGGGGACCUGGGGACAUCGGGCUCCCUGCAUGGAACCUGCUUCUCCCUCUGCCUGUGUCUCUGCCUCUCUCUUCUCUCUCUUCUCUCUCUCUCUCUCUCUCUCGCGCGCGCGCACUCAUGAAUAAAUAAAUGAAAUCUUUAAAAAAUAAAAAAAUAAUAGGGCUGAAAAACCAGGUGAGGGGAGACAGGAUGGCCCCCAGUGUGCUUUGUGCCAGGGCCGUCUUAGAAAGCCAGUGUUUGUGUCACAUUGGCACAACUACUGGAUCUAUAGUGAGCACUGACCAGGGGUGUCCUGAUGUGCAAUGUGCUGGAGCUGCUUUUUUGGGGUGGUUGGGGCUGGUGUGGGCUAGGGACCCAGGACUUACUGAAGCAACAGGCUGGUUAGGGUAUCUGGACCCUCCCAUCCAAUUUUUAAAGGUAGAGGGAAAACAUAAACCAUGGCACUCACCCAGCUCCUCCAACCUGGAGAGAGUGCCAGCAGCUUUCCCACCAUUGGGCAGAGUUCUAGUUCUGGAUAGUCCCUGAGGAGUUUUGGACGGGGAACUGCAGGGCACACCCCUGCGCUCAAUGGUUGGGCAUCUUCAAAAAAAAAGGUCUUCCCUAAUUUUGUAGAUGUAAGCAAACUUUUCUGUGAAAGGCUAGAUAAUAAAAAUUUCUAACUUUACAGGCAACAAAGAUAGAUGCUACAACUAUUGAACUCUACUUUUGUAGUAUAGAAGCAGCCAUAGACUAUUUUUAAAUGAACAUGGGCUUUGUUCUAGUAAAACUGUACUUACUACAGCAGUCUAGACUAUGGACCUCAGGCCAUAGAUUGCCAGUUCCUUAUUAGAAUCAUAUACCAGGACGCCUGGGUGGCUCAGCGGUUGAGCGGCUGCCUUCAGCUCAGGGUGGGAUCCCGAGAUGUGGGAUCAAGUCCCACAUCAGGCUCCCUGCAUAGAGCCUGCUUCUCCUUCUGCCUGUGUCUCUGCUCUCUCUCAAUGAAUGAAUGAAUGAACGAACGAACGAACGAACAAACAAACCUUAAGAAAAAAAGAAUCCUAUACCUAUGAAGGCAGAAAAAAGUUUUAAAAUAAUGUAGAACUGAGAUAGCAGAUUUUUACUACUCAUACCAAUUUCUCAUACCAGUGAUACCUAAGGUUAUGAAGCUACAUUGGAGUUUUGCUAGAAGUAGUUCAUUAGUAUUCGCUUUACCACAAUUUCUCAUUUAUAAAAUGGGUAAUAGAUGGUAUUAAAUCAGUAAAAACUCAUGAGAUUGUUUUGAGGAUUAAAUAACACACCUAAAUCACUUAGUAUGUGUGUGGCACCAACAAAUACAGAGUAAGCCAUUGAGUGCUUACAAUGUGUCAAGCACUAUUUCAGUACUGAGGAUAUUAAAUCGUGGGUAUUGUUUUUUAACUUAAAACUCUCUGUUAGCAUUUUUAUACUCCUUUAUCUUUAAAAAGUAAAAACAAUUCAAAUUAGUGUAUCAGUUAUAGCUACAGCCUGACUUCUACUCUGCAAAAUUUUAUUUGCUGCCAGCCAUUCUUCUAGCUGUGACUUUCUGACAUCUCUUUCUACCAUUUUACCUCUUGACUGUUAAAUCUUACUUGACUGUAGCAUUUGAAACUCUUCCUUUACUUGUGUGAAUUUGUUACCUCCUAGUUUUUCCUAAAUCUAACAAGCUUUCCAUCUGCCUUUCCUGGCAUCUCAUCUACCACUCACCUUUCAAAUGGUAGGUGUAAUUGGGGUCUAUCUUUAUAUUUUCUUCUUUUCUCCUCAGUGUCCCACUCUGUUCCAAUUACAGCAUUUUCCUGAUAACUCCUAUCUAUAGCUUUAGGUUACACCUUUCUGUUAGAAAUCACAUUUCUGACUGCAAGUGGACGUUUUCAUUUGUAUAUCUUGUAGAUACCUUAAGCCUAUGUACGUAGGAAUCAUCUGAAGAUCUUCUUAAAUGUAGACUGUAAAUUCUGUAAAUUUGGUGUGAAUCCUGAGAUUCUGCAUUUCUAAUAAUCCUCCUGGUUGUGGCCCACAUUUUUGGUAGAGAGGCCUUUCCAAAAACUGAAUUAAUACUCCUCUUAUAAAAGUGUACCAUCUUCUCUCCUGUUUCCAUAAAUGGCAAUAUCAACAAGCAAAAGCAUAAAGUACAAGAAUCAUGACUGUCCUUUAUUUAACACUUCAUACCCAAGUAGGCACCAAAUGGUAUCUCUUCCUUUCCUGAAGAACUUUCACAUCUUAUUUCCUCGGCCUUCUCUGUGAAUUUAAUCUAGCCUUUGGCAUCUUUCUCCAGAAGGAUUACUUGUUAUAUGGUCGAGGUAUCUCUAUUCCCUUUUCCUUCUUUUGUUGUAUCCUCUAUACAACUACCAAAAAAGACUUUUGCCAAAAAAAAAAAAAGAAAAAA
rnacentral:lncRNA from 1 species